rnacentral:misc_RNA from 1 species
UCCGGUUUGUCACCGGCAGUCAUCCUAGAGUGCCCACCCGAAGUGCUGGCAACUAAGAUCAAGGGUUGCGCUCGUUGCGGGACUUAACCCAACAUCUCACGACACGAGCUGACGACAACCAUGCACCACCUGUCUCCUCUGUCCCCGAAGGGCCGCCUCUAUCUCUAGAGGUUUCAGAGGGAUGUCAAGACCUGGUAAGGUUCUUCGCGUUGCUUCGAAUUAAACCACAUACUCCACUGCUUGUGCGGGUCCCCGUCAAUUCCUUUGAGUUUUAGCCUUGCGGCCGUAGUCCCCAGGCGGGGCACUUACUGCGUUUGCGGCGGCACCGGGGGGGUCGAUACCCCCGACACCUAGUGCCCAUCGUUUACAGCGUGGACUAC